AAAUUGUUUUUACACUUUGUGCGUGUUGUGGAAGAGCUUUGAGAAUGUGCUUCUGUGGGAGCUGUUGUCAGCAGAUUGUUGAUACAGCAUGUAAGUGUUGCAAACUACAUCUUUUUAUGUCUGGUGCACAACAGGUGUCAAAGGGAGGUAAGUUUUUCAUUUUUCCUUUCUCUUUACACACACACGCCCUAAUCUCCGUGAACCUUUGUUCUCCUUUUGCUCAGUCACUUCCUAACAUCAACUUGUCCUUCAGUUUGAAUUGUGUUACAUUAAAGUCUAACUCCAGUGACACCUGCUGUCUCACUGCUCUCUGUGUUUUAUUGAAUCUGCAGAAAAAGAUGAUGAUUACAUUGUGCUGUGCCAUCAUUGGAAUCGUUGGGUUCUCCUAUCUCUACAGCUUCUUCUCGUAAAAAGGUUUCACACAGUGUUUUUAGGGACAAGAGUGUCAAGAACAAUUUCCUGAGGUGCUCCCCUAUUUUUACCCUGACCAUUAUUUUAAUCUGUUUCAAAAUCUAAUAUAUACAUAUACAUGUGUGUGUGUAUAUAUAUAUAUAUGUAAAGAAAAAAAUUGAACCAUAGCAGCCCUGACCACACUUACCUUUCCACUGAUAAAUUUAAAUUAUUUCUCGCUGUAUGAAGUGUUUUAAAAACGUGUUAUAAAUGUGUAGAUUUUUCUGCCUGUUCAUAACUCAACAUGUGACUUAUCGUCAGUUUGGACCAUUCUGGUUGACUGCCGCCUCCCUGUGGUACAAAGAAAGCACAUUCAUAUUUAUUAUAAGGAAAUUAGUACAACGGAUUCAUUUAAAGUUAAUAAGAACGAAUUAUGUUUUUUCCCCUAUUGCAGUCUUUGGCUUAAACACAUAUUAAGCUCUGGUAAAAAAAAAAAAACAACAAAAAAACAACAACAACAAAAAAACCCAAUGAAGUAGUAUUUUCUGACUUAUUUGUUGUCAUAAUUUGAAUAAAUCGUGUGUGAUUUUGUUGUGUGUGAACUGUCUGUAUGCGUCUGUGCUGCUGACAUGCUUGUGCUGAUGGUCUUUUCUGUAACAGCGGCUGCCACUCGCUCACUGGCUGUGUCUCAACCCAGUAAAGCCUGUUAUGUAAUAAAAGAUUUCUGUGCGUUGUA